rnacentral:rRNA from 1 species
GAGUUUGAUCGUGGCUCAGGACGAACGCUGGCGGCGUGCUUAACACAUGCAAGUCGAACGAGAAUCUACUGAAAGAGUUUUUCGGACAAUGGAAGUAGAGGAAAGUGGCGGACGGGUGAGUAACGCGUGAGGAACCUGCCUUGAAGAGGGGACAACAGUUGGAAACGACUGCUAAUACCGCAUGAUGCAUAAGGGUCGCAUGAUUCUUAUGCCAAAGAUUUAUCGCUUCAAGAUGGCCUCGCGUCUGAUUAGCUAGUUGGCGGGUAACGGCCCACCAAGGCGACGAUCAGUAGCCGGACUGAGAGGUUGAACGGCCACAUUGGGACUGAGAUACGGCCCAGACUCCUACGGGAGGCAGCAGUGGGGAAUAUUGGGCAAUGGGCGCAAGCCUGACCCAGCAACGCCGCGUGAAGGAAGAAGGCUUUCGGUA